GCGGGCAUGGCGGAAUUGGCAGACGCGCCAGAUUUAGGUUCUGGUGGGUUUCCCGUGCAGGUUCAAGUCCUGUUGCCCGCACCA
rnacentral:tRNA from 1 species